rnacentral:rRNA from 1 species
UACGUAGGGCGCAAGCGUUGUCCGGAAUCACUGGGCGUAAAGGGCGCGUAGGCGGCGCGGUAAGCGUGCGGUGAAAGCCCGGGGCUCAACCCCGGGUCGGCCGUGCGGGACUGCCGGGCUGGAGCACUGUAGAGGCAGGUGGAAUUCCGGGUGUAGCGGUGGAAUGCGUAGAGAUCCGGAAGAACACCGGUGGCGAAGGCGGUCUGCUGGGCAGUUGCUGACACUGAGGCGCGAAAGCGUGGGGAGCAAACAGG